UGAGGUAGCAGUAGAGAAAGAUGUCUCAGAUAUAUUAAAAGAGGAUGUGGUAGAACAAGAGACAAGGAAAUCAAUAGGAGAAGUGGAGGUUGAAACCGUCUCAGGUUCAGCAUCUGUUCAAAAAAAGGUUAUGCAGGAAGAUGCUGAGAGUGACAAGCUAACUGAAGUAAUUAGUUCUGGAGAUGUUGAGGAGGGUGAUAUAGAAGAGGGGAAAAUCAUCAGUAACUGGGCAAAAGUAUCACUAGAUAACAUUGGCAGAAGUUUAGUGGGUAAAUCACAAGCUCUAUUAUUGGAACAAGGGAAAGUGAUUUCUCCAUCGAGAAUUUCAGUUCUACAAAAAGUUAUGGAAGAGGAGACUCAAACAAAUAAAUAUGCUGUAGAUAUGGAUGGGGAAAACAAGGAUCAGAAUUUGCACUCUGAGGACAAGAUCCACGAUGAUGCAUAAGGAAAAGAUGGUCAUUUGCAAAUGGAGAAUAAAGUUGAUAUUGCAGAUGAGGUAAUUGUAUGUUAUACGCAAAACUGGUGUGGAGAGCAGUACAUCACGUCAACUGUUACCAAGGGAUUCAAUGAGCAAACACAAGUUUCUCACGGUUGCUUCAGCCAAUAUUACGAGGGAUAGCAU
rnacentral:lncRNA from 1 species